GCAAACUUGGUCAUUUAGAGGAAGUAAAAGUCGUAACAAGGUUUCCGUAGGUGAACCUGCGGAAGGAUCAUUAACGAGUUUUGAAAGGGGUUGUAGGCUGGCCUUCUGGGGCAUGUGCACGCCCUGCUCAAAUCUGCUCUACACCUGUGCACUUACUGUGGGUUUCAGAGGCAAAGUGGACCUUGUCAAAGUGGACCUUGUGCAGGUCUUAUGGAGUUUCUGUGCCUACGUCUUAUUUUACAAAUGCUUCAGUUUUAGAAUGUGUAUUGUGAAGGUGUAAAUGCAUCUAUAUACAACUUUCAGCGACGGAUCUCUUGGCUCUCGCAUCGAUGAAGAACGCAGC
rnacentral:misc_RNA from 1 species